CUUGCUCUUAAGAAGUUAGCGGCGGACGGGUGAGUAACACGUAGGUAACCUGCCUAUAAGACUGGGAUAACUCCGGGAAACCGGGGCUAAUACCGGAUAACAUUUUGCACCGCAUGGUGCGAAAUUGAAAGGCGGCUUCGGCUGUCACUUAUAGAUGGACCUGCGGCGCAUUAGCUAGUUGGUGAGGUAACGGCUCACCAAGGCGACGAUGCGUAGCCGACCUGAGAGGGUGAUCGGCCACACUGGGACUGAGACACGGCCCAGACUCCUACGGGAGGCAGCAGUAGGGAAUCUUCCGCAAUGGACGAAAGUCUGACGGAGCAACGCCGCGUGAGCGAUGAAGGCCUUCGGGUCGUAAAGCUCUGUUGUUAGGGAAGAACAAGUGCUAGUUGAAUAAGCUGGCACCUUGACGGUACCUAACCAGAAAGCCACGGCUAACUACGUGCCAGCAGCCGCGGUAAUACGUAUGUGGCAAGCGUUAUCCGGAAUUAUUGGGGCGUAAAGCGCGCGCAGGUGGUUUCUUAAGUCUGAUGUGAAAGCCCACGGGCUCACCCGUGGAGGGGUCAUUGGAAACUGGGAGACUUGAGUGCAGAAGAAGAAAGUGGAAUUCCAUGUGUAGCGGUGAAAUGCGUAGAGAUAUGGAGGAACACCAGUGG
rnacentral:rRNA from 1 species